rnacentral:lncRNA from 1 species
UGGUAUGAAAUAAUGUCAUGAAUGGUUUAUGAAUUAACACGUGUCGGUAAGCGUGAUACAUGAAUAAAUGUUGUGCUCAUCCAUGCUUAUAAUGCUUGUGCUAUAUGUGUAUUUGGCUAAUGUAUUUGGUGUACAUGCUUAGGCUUUGGCCAAGCAGUGGCUAGAUUAUGCCACGUUAAAUUUAUAAGUUAUGCAUUGAAUUUUAAGUGCCUAAUUGAUAUGGUGCUUGUGAUAUGCGUAGGAAACGGGUGUGGAAAGGUAAUGAAAUAGUAAGUUCAUAUGGCUGAAAUUUAGUGAUUAAAUGUUAAUUUCAUGAAUUAUAUAAUGUGUGAUGAAAUAUAUAUUUAUUGUUGAAUUGAAAAUAAAAUAAAAGUGUGAAAACUGAAUAAAU